rnacentral:lncRNA from 1 species
GUAUUAAAUUAUACUGUUGAUUGUGCUCAUCUCUACUUCUAUAAACUUUGCAAAAAACCAAUACAAAUACCAAUAAUUUAAAGGCUAGUUUCAAUUUAUGAAACAAAAUAAUUUAGUCACAAAAACAGAAAAUAUGAUUAGUUUAGAUAAUUAAAAACCUCUGAAAUUUUGUAUAUAAUUCCAUCUUUAAUAAUAUUUCUACCCCCAAGUAAGACUUACAGGUUGGGCCCUUUAGUUAUUU